rnacentral:rRNA from 1 species
GACGAACGCUGGCGGCGUGCUUAACACAUGCAAGUCGAGCGGUAAGGCCCUUUUGGGGGUACACGAGCGGCGAACGGGUGAGUAACACGUGGGUGACCUGCCCUCAGCUCUGGGAUAAGCCUGGGAAACUGGGUCUAAUACUGGAUAUGACCUUUCCUCGCACGGGGUUGGGUGGAAAGUUUUUCGGCUGGGGAUGGGCCCGCGGCCUAUCAGCUUGUUGGUGGGGUGAUGGCCUACCAAGGCGACGACGGGUAGCCGGCCUGAGAGGGCGACCGGCCACACUGGGACUGAGACACGGCCCAGACUCCUACGGGAGGCAGCAGUGGGGAAUACUGCGCAAUGGGCGGAAGCCUGACGCAGCGACGCCGCGU